GAUGAACGCUGGCGGCGUGCUUAACACAUGCAAGUCGAACGGAAAGGCCCUGCGUUUGUGGGGUGCUCGAGUGGCGAACGCGUGAGUAACACGUGAGUAUCCUGCCCUUGACUUUCGGAUAACUUCAGGAAACUGGGGCUAAUACCGGAUAGGAUCUCCUGCUGCAUGGUGGGGGUUGGAAAGUUUCGGCGGUUGGGGAUGGACUCGCGGCUUAUCAGCUUGUUGGUGGGGUAGUUGCUUACCAAGGCUUUGACGGGUAGGCGGCCUGAGAGGGUGAACGGCCACCAUGGGACUGAGAUACGGCGCAGACUCCUACGGGAGGCAGCAGUCGGGAAUAUUGCACAGUGGGCGGAAGUCUGAUGCAGAAACGCCCGGUGCGGGAAGACGGCCUUUGGGGUGUAAACCGCUUUCGCCUGAGACGAAGCGUGAGUGACGGUAAUGGGUAAAGAAGCACCGGCUAACUACGUG
rnacentral:rRNA from 1 species